UUUCAACCACCAGAGCCACAACACCUACUCCUAUAUUCAAUUCCGGCGCCAAUCCUCUUCUUCAUCAUCCCUUCCAAAGUGCCAGUAUGCCGGGCGCCGAUGGUGCGAAGACGGUCUCCGGCGGCGAUCUGCUUGAGAAGCCGAUCGCGCUGCUGCCGUCCACCAAGCUGAUCAAGGAAGGGUUUGAGUUCAAGUACAAGACGCUGGAGCACAUCUACGAGAACAUGGUGGAGUACGGCAAGGCCCUGGGGAUCCUUCCCAACUGAACUGUUGUGAUGAUGAUGAUGCUCCGUGUGCUUUUGAUUUGAUCUUCCCGUACCCGCAAAAUAAGUCUUGUCUCUGCACUCUGGUCACGUCAUCAGAAGGCAGAAAACUGCGGGUGGUUUGAACGUAGCUCCCCAUUUUCUGUAGGAGUAUUUAUUUUGCGAGCAGUUUGGUUAUUAAUUGACUAGCUUUUUCGCUGUUUUUUAGAGGAAGUUUGAAUGUGCGUGGCAUGGAUCGCCUGUUCCUUAGAAAUGUGUUUUCUGAAGAAGUUUGAAUGUACCGCCGGGAAAAGAUCGACCAAUCUUAUGCCAGUCACAUUUAUCUGCUUUAUGCAUUUCUGCAUGACACAUCUCUGUGUCUUGAGCAAGGGUAAGGGUAAAUUAUCAGUCAUAA